AUUGAACGCUGGCGGCAGGCCUAACACAUGCAAGUCGAGCGGAGCGGCGGACGGGUGAGUAAUGCCUAGGAAUCUGCCUGUUAGUGGGGGAUAAGGUCCGGAAACGGUCGCUAAUACCGCAUACUAUAAGUUCAGCCUGGGUCGGAUUGGCUAGUUGGUGGGGUAAAGGCCUACCAAGGCGACUAUCCGUAACUGUUCUGAGAGGAUGAUCAGUCACACUGGAACUGAGACACGGUCCAGACUCGUACGGGAGGCAGCAGUGGGGAAUAUUGGAAAAUGGGCGAAAGCCUGAUUCAGCCAUGCCGCGUGUGUGAAGAAGGUCUUCGGAUUGUAAAGCACUUUAAGUUGGGAGGCGUUACCAACAGAAUAAGCACCGGCUAACUGCGUGCCAGCAGCCGCGGUAAUAC
rnacentral:rRNA from 1 species